rnacentral:rRNA from 1 species
UCGGGUUGUAAAGCACUUUUGUCCGGAAAGAAAUCCUUUUCGAUAAUACCGAAGGGGGAUGACGGUACCGGAAGAAUAAGCACCGGCUAACUACGUGCCAGCAGCGCGGUAAUCGUAGAGUGCGAGCGUUAAUCGGAAUUACUGGGCGUAAAGCGUGCGCAGGCGGUGAUGUAAGACCGAUGUGAAAUCCCCGGGCUUAACCUGGGAACUGCAUUGGUGACUGCAUCGCUGGAGUAUGGCAGAGGGGGGUAGAAUUCCACGUGUAGCAGUGAAAUGCGUAGAGAUGUGGAGGAAUACCGAUGGCGAAGGCAGCCCCCUGGGCCAAUACUGACGCUCAUGCACGAAAGCGUGGGGAGCAAACAGGAUUAGAUACCCUGGUAGUCCACGCCCUAAACGAUGUCAACUGGUUGUCGGGCCUUCAUUGGCUUGGUAACGUAGCUAACGCGUGAAGUUGACCGCCUGGGGAGUACGGUCGCAAGAUUAAAACUCAAAGGAAUUGACGGGGACCCGCACAAGCGGUGGAUGAAGGUGGAUUAAUUCGAUGCAACGCGAAAAACCUUACCUACCCUUGACAUGUACGGAAGUCCGCUG